GAUGAACGCUGGCGGCGUGCUUAACACAUGCAAGUCGAACGAAGCACUUUAUUUGAUUUCCUUCGGGACUGAUUAUUUUGUGACUGAGUGGCGGACGGGUGAGUAACGCGUGGUUAACCUGCCUUGUACAGGGGGAUAACAGUUGGAAACGGCUGCUAAUACCGCAUAAGCGCACAGCAUCGCUUGAUGCAGUGGGAAAAACUCCGGUGGUAUAGGAUGGACCCGCGUUGGAUUAGCUAGUUGGUGAGGUAACGGCCCACCAAGGCGACGAUCCAUAGCCGAGCUGGGAGCGUGACCGGACGCAGUGGAACUGGGGCACAGACCAAACUGCUACGGGAGGGAGCAGUAUGGAGUAUUUCGCAAUGAGAGCUAACGUGAUGCAGCGACGCCGCGUGAGCGAAGAAGUAUUUCGGUAUGUAAAGCUCUAUCAGAAGGAAAGAUAAUGACGGUACCUGACUAAGAAGCACCGGCUAAAUACGUG
rnacentral:rRNA from 1 species